CUUUUUGGCACUAUGGGAUAUGUUCCAUUGAUAUUUUAAUACACAUGGUUUUAUACACCAUGCUAGGUUAUGGUACGUUUUGUAUUACUAAACCUAUUCUUGUAUUUUUACUUUAUUCGCCUCCUCUAUGUUCUCCCUUAUAUCAUGGACUGAUUUCCGUCGAGGUUACGCACUGUACGGUGGAACGCACAUGCGUUCCAGCCGCCAAGAGAUGACUGAUGUAGAAGGAGUUCCUCUCUUCCGGAUUGUUGGAACGCAUAUGCGUUCCAUGGAACACUCGGCGGAAGUCCUUAUAUGGACUCGGAAUUAUGCUCACUUGGAACAGGUAACGCAACGCCUGCAGAUUGGAUGAUGAGAAGUCAAACCCGGCGAGAGGCACACUUAAAAGAAGACUGAACAGAAGAGCAUAUCAGCAUCUGUUAUUUAUUUGAUUGAUUGUAACAUUGUUUUUUUUUAUUAUAUGAUGAAGUCUAAUGCUUAGACGAAACGUGUAGAGCUGGUUUUAUUGCUACCUGUUAUCCCUGUAUUUGAAGUCUCCAUUUGUCAUCUUGGAAAGAGAGACUAAUACUUGAU